AUUUAAUGAACAUGGCAAAACUCACCUGGCCCGGACACUGUGAGAAUUAACAGAUUGAGAGCUCUUUCAUGAUUCGGUGGUUGGGGGUGCAUGAUCGUUUUUAGUUGGUAGAGUGAUUUGUCUGGUUUAUUCAUAAAAAACGAACAAAUAUGGAAAAGAAUAGAGUUCAAUAUCCCAGCUAUGUUUUCUUAACUAAAUAAUAUCCAACACCACCAAUAAAUCGAAUUGCGAAGAACCGAUUUUCGGAACUAUUAUAUUUAGA
rnacentral:ncRNA from 1 species